rnacentral:lncRNA from 1 species
AAAAAACAGGAAUCUCCAUUGUAAAAAAACAGGCAUCUCAACUCAACAAGUACAUUAUUCCAUAUACAUAAAAUGUUAGAUUCAGCCACAUAAAUGUUAUUCGGAGACGAGAUUCAACCCAAUCCGAACCUUUCGAGCUGCGGAGAUUGUAACUUAUGUUCACUUAUGUCAAUCUAAUCUCCAACUGCUUUGAUGAUGGACAUAGGGACACUUAGAAACUAAAAUCUAUCAUCGAUUCAAUUCCUCUUCUUUGAAUGGGAGAAAAGGUAACAAAUAGUGACGCAGACAGAUGACAACUGAGGGUUAUCCUUCACUAACUAAAACGCUAAGGUUCAAAUUCAAUGCCGACUAAUAAAUGUGGGAGAUUUAGACUACAUAGCGAAGGUUUGAGAUUAAACCACAAACCAUUGACUGCGCAGCUAGCCUGUGCCAUUCAUCACAUUCCUUUACCAGGAGCUGCAAGAAAGGAAUUGCCUGUACAGAGAGACUAGGAUGACUUGGACUGCAAGGUAACAAAAGAAUUGCCCCUUCUUAAGUAAGGCGAGGUGGGUUGUUUUUCUUAAUGCCAUAACUUGCUGCAGAACCCAUUCCUAGGCCUCUUGCUGGAUACGACAUCCGAGAACGAAUCAACCAACUGUUCGGCUAAGCUACCAUGGUCAUCAUUCAGAGUCCUAAUGAAAGUAUGCACCACUCUCCGCUCCUGUUCCGUUGAUCUCAAGCUAAACCACGUCAGCAAUUUCAGUCUGAAUUCCUGAUCGAUGUGACCUCCACAUUCCAGCAUUCGGAUCGUCUUCACACACGCGACGACCCGACAUUACAUUCAAAUCAAGCCCUUGUAAAGCAGUUGGCAAGUGAAUAUCAUCAUCUCGAGUCUCUGCUAUGGUUAAAGCAGCAUCACAACACUUGUCAGUGCCAGCACUACAGAAACCUUCUACGCCGGCUCGCUCUUGUGCCCACGCCAUACGUAUGAUUUUCCCAAGCUCCCGGACUCUGAAUCCGGAGAAUUCACUCCCUCUUUCGUUAGGAUGAUCAUCCGUCUUACCAUUUUCUACAACAGAAGAAGAACGAGGAUGCUUACGAAUAAUGUCAACACUUUUGGUGAAACACUUGGCCUCUGAAUGACCUAAAUCACCAGAAUCAGUGUAUGACAUAAUUCGAAAUGUAUACUCUGUGCAUGGCUGCAGAUUUGUUAUCAGAAUCCUCCUCUGAGUCUUUGGGAACACACUAACAGGUUCCUUUUGAGGCGUCUCUUCUCGACUCUUGCUAUACCACAGUUUGUAACCCUUAAUAUCAUCAGCAAACGAUGCAGCUGAUAUUUCGAUCAGAAUAAUAAUGACGGAGGAAGAUGUUACUUCUUCAAAGAAAAACCUGCAAGCUGCUGGCAGUGAGCCCUCUGGAAAAUAAGAAAGAAGUGAUUAUUAGGAUUUCCGUAUUGCGGAGUCUGCUGACAAUGCCCCGUGCCAAGUUGGCAGAAACACCGUUUAUCGAGCCAACCUCGGUCUCUAGCUUGGCUUUCGCAACUUUUAUGAAUUCGUGCAACUCUUUGAAUCUUGAAGUUCUGUCCAGUAAUCUAUAACUAAGGUCUAUUCUAUAGCAUAGCACAUCAACACGACGGGCAUCUUUAGCAAUACUCAGCUGCUUCUUCCAGGAUCUGCACGUAUGUAGACAAUUUGACGAUAACGCACCCUUUCUAUAUAGGAUUGCAAGAGAAACGAAAUGAAAAACAAAUACUUACUCUAGAAUGCCAGACACUUUACCACAAGAAGCGCAGCAAUAACUGCCAUCUAGCUGCAUGAGUUGCCCGAGAUCAACAACUCCAACCUUUUCAUGCUGGAAGGCACACUCAAUGUGACAAGAGAGCCCACAAGAAUCCUCAUCACUGGAUUCAGAUGUGCAGAACAACCACAGACUCGGGUCUUUAUUCUCGUCAAAGGAAUGACAGAUACAGCAAGAACAUCUCUUACAAAAUGAGUCCGCAGCAAGAACAUCUCUUGCAAAAUGAGUCCUCGAUGGAUAAGACAGCUCGGCAGGCAGAAUUUUUACAUAUCCACGAGUUUUCACUCCCAAAUUCCGGUGAUUCAUCAGAGGAAUGCACGAUCCGCGCAGGAUUAUCCCCCUUUCUUUUCUGCUUCUUUGAAGAAGACUGAUUAUUGGUGGCAGGAAUUUUCUUUGUUUCCUGCUUCUUGUUCGUUUUGUUACCCAACUGAAGUUCAGUCAUUUUGCCUUUGGAUGAUGCUGAUUGUUUAUUGUCCUUACCAAAGGAAGUACAGAGAAGGGCCUUUCUGGGACCAGAUUUCAGAAACUCUUGAAUUAGCUCUGAACUUCUUGAAGCCUCAUCGGAAUUAUUAUUUUUCUCUCGAGUGCUAUCACACUGGAAGAGAGGUUUUGAACACCAGAAACUGGAAUAAGACAAGGGGCUAAUUUAAGAAAUUGAAAUGCGCUCCAAAAUCUGUCAGAUUAAAAUGCAGAAAGUUCAUCUGCAACAAUUUUCUUUUGUAAGAUUCUCAGCCAUGCAAUAAAACGGAGAGAAUACGGAACCCAAAAACAACCAUUCAAAUAGAAAUCCAUGCAGACGAAGUAACCAAGACAUGACUAGGACAAAGUCAAAAACAUUUUGGUACUGCAGUCAGGAAAACACCUUCCAAUCAAAUUACAGAAGUUUGACAUAAAAGCAGAGAUCUGAAUGCCAGCUCCUAUUGGAAUCAUUCUUACAUCCGGCAGUUUUUGUAAACAACUUCGGUUUGAAAAGAUUUCCUUUUUUUAUCAGAUGCAGAUUCCGAACCAGGGAGCAUGUGAGCAAGAGAAAGUCAUCAGGAACACGGGCCAGGAAAGUGUUAUUCUUCACAAGAAACAAUCUUCAAUUUCAUCAACCUCAGCCUAUGAGCAACUUAGUAACCAUCGAUCGAUUACAAGCCAAACUCAAUUUUGAGAGGUCAGAGACAGACCAUACCUCUGCCGUGGAAUUUAUCAUCCAAGUCCAUUACUAUACAGAUCCGCCCAAUAGCUUUAGCUGCCCUACCUAUGACAAAGAUGCUAGAAAUGUCAGUAAAUUGACAUGGGAAUUCUUAUCCAGAAGCUCAAUCAAAAAUACGUUAACAUGCUACUCAAAUUUAUAGAAUCCAACCCAUUCGUGAGGGGAGACAAAGAAGGAUCGAGAUCAUCAGUUACCCACGUCUUCAAAGUAAGAGAUAAUUUUUAUGUAAGUUGAAUGCCGAAUGCAGAUACUGGUAAAGACAAAAAUGAACAAUGAAACGCACAAACUCCGUAGAGAAAGCAACAAAUUCUAAGAUUCAUACUUAAAAAAACAGUAGCCUAGCUGAACUGGGAACUUCCAGAGAAAGAACAAAAUAGAAGGCCUAGCGAACAAGAACAAAGAUUGGAGUAAACAAGCUCCAAUUGAGAUCAAGGGCAAAGAUAAUGAAGACAAUCAUCUAGAACCCUCGCACCAGUCCCCCUCUCGUCUCCAUUACUCCCAAAAAGAACCAUGUUUCCCUAUCUUCUUCAGAUUAUUUUUUACAAAAAAACCAAUAUAAUUUUAUAUUUUUAAACUCGACCUGCCAAAGCUAUGGAACAAAGUUCCACUACAUCUGAACUCUCGUACAUUGCGUAAAUUCAACGUGAAAAGCAAAUAAUUCACACACAAAAUUCAAAUAUACAAAUUGAAGCAGCUACGUAGAAGCAAAUACCGGAAAGGCAAAAGGAAAAAAGAAAAAUCCUCACGAAUUUCACAAAGCCAUGACGAUAGAAAGAAAAGCAGGCGCAAUAGUCCUGGAAACGUUAAUCGAGUCACAGCUGGUAACUGUAACGGAUCUGGGCACGUAAAAGCUUCCGGCAAAACGAGAAAAGAUAGAAAGUACAAGAGAAAGGAAGAAAAAACCAUGAGAGACGUACCAGCAGGAGCGAGUGGAUAAUAACAGAAGAAAAAUAAGCUCCUAGGGUUUGGAAUGGGACCAGCAAAAAGCCCAAGGACGAAGAAGAAGAAGUAGAAGAAGAAAUUUCUCUCUGUGAAAGAGGAGAAUCCAAAGAUGCAGAGAGGAGAGAGAGGAAUUAGCUUCCUGCUGCUAAUCUAUUGUUGCUCUGUUUGGCGAGAAAGAGAAAAUAAAAUAAAAAAGAAAUGCCGGUAACGAGAUGUGAGCGCGGAAGGGGAGGUGGUGGGGAAACUUUACGCGCGAGUGCCGGUGCGUAUAUUUGUUGGGCGAGUUGAAGUUACGUUGAGCACCGUCACGUGGUAUUAUUGGUACGUGAAAGUAACCCCAGGCUGCGCUAGCGCGUUAUUAUUUCUGCUUGUAUAUUUUUAUUUCAGGAUUUUCGGAAUCUUUUUACUUCCUGACUCUUUUCUUGCAAUUAAUUAUUUUCGCAGGGUGUUUUUUUAUACAAAAUAUUCAAAAUGUGAUAAGUUUAGGUAUAUAUCGAGAAAUGUUGCAACUUUUAUAUAGAUUUUUUGUCACCGAAUUUGAAGUUUCGGACGAACUAUGUCACGCUGUUAAUUUGUGCUUCACUCCGUCCACAAAAUUCGCCCUAGCCCGUACAUGUCAGAUUUGUACCGCUGAUGUGGCAUUCAAUUAUUUCUAAUUAAAACAGAUUUUAUUAACACAUUCUCCAUCUCCUCCAAACCAAAUUCCCUUUUCACCUUCUCGUCCCCCGCCUCUAUCGAAGGUAGACCGUUGUGACUGUGUGAUCGAAGAUAGCCUUGGAAUCUCGUGUACAUGUAGGCUUGAAUCUAUGGAAUGUGACAGGGUUUGGUUGAAAUCAUACCACCUCCACUAAUUUUUGCGAUCAUUGGAGUACACUAGCUUCUAAACAGUGAGAAGUGGGAAGAUCAUGACCGCGACAUUCUGAGCGGGAUGGUACAGACGAUUUGUGACAGCGGUGGGACUGCUAUACAGGCUUCCCGUAAAUUGGUUCAGUCGUAGUUCCAACCCGAAUCGGAGAAUGUGAAAGAGCCUAAAACGUCUGAGGCCCCAAAGGGUAGACCUCGUGCACGAAAGGCAGACGGCUGGAACCCUUCUUAGCACGAGCAUGCGAGUGCUCAUUGUACCCCGACCAAGGGCAAACCCAAGUCAGGUUCGCACGAUUUUAUACUACAUCACUGUCUUCAUCUUAUCGGUUGUGAUCACAAAAUAGCAUAACGUUACAGAUCAUUCAAACGCCUGUGAAGGGUACACCCACACCAAGCAUGUCGGGAGCCACUCCAGCAAGAUCCAUUCCAUGUAGAGGUGUGUAGCAGAUUCUUGAUCACGUCUAUGGAACUAUUGUACUAGAAUAAAAUCACCGUCCUAAUUAUUUAUUGCACCUCUAAAAUUUGAGUGCAACUCUUUAUCCAGUAUAUCCCCAUCGGACUCCGUGGACUGCUAAACAACGUGUUUGACGUUAUCGACGAUGGCCAUUGCGGGUUUAGAUGCGUGUCCCACUCAGUUCACGACUCGUGGAAAUGAGAUAGGAGCUUAUGGAUCAUGUUGUUUACUUGGCAAGUUGGUACCAUAUGGAGAAGAGUUGGAGACCAUUCUAGCAAGGUUAGGUUGGCUGAGCAAGGAACCAUGUGACGACCAAUGAUGGUUCUGGAACCUGGACCUGUUCGGAUUUGCCACUAUGCACAGUUGGACUUAUGUUGUGUUCGGCAUUGGGGGAUGGUCUCCCAUAUAAGGAGACAUUUCUUCUGUUGAGACUCCGGCGUGGGACACAGUCGUCAGAGAUGUGUGACGUACCUCGUGUGUACCAGUAAUCAUUGGGUGCGGUUAUAUUUGGAUGCUGACGACGUGGUGUUUUUAAUUUUGCAGCCGAACGCGUGGAAUUAUUGGGCCGAUGAAAGUGCAAAAGUGUGUGGGUGGGCAGUUUGUAUCAUGAUGAACGUGCAAAGUAUGAUAUGUUGGUUCCACCGCGUAAGUAGAUGACACUGUAAUCUCAUAUGUGUACUAAACGCUUGCAGUACGGUUUCCUAUUUGUUAAUCUAGCUCCAUUGACUCUUAAUUAUAUUUAAAUACCGUAACUCUUAAUUAUAUUUAAAUACCGUAACGUAAAAAAUGCAAACCAACAGGAAGGACGGGUCCAUUAGUCUUGUUCCGCCGGACGGAAAUCCCAUUCGUCCGGUUAGUUUUGACGGACGAAAAUUUCGUCUGUCUGGUUAGUUCUGUCCUAUUUUGGUUGUCGUACCUAGCUAUUCAUCCUUGUUAUAAUUAAUUACAUGUCAUUCAUACCUCGUUACAUAUAAGUCGUUAUACUCUGGUAUAGCGAUGUUAAACUCAUUAUAACUUGGUAUUCAUUAAAAACUUGUUACAACUUGUUAUAAGUAGGUAUUCAUUCAUGGUUUAACAGAAAACGUUUUUCAUGCAUAAUGUCAACCAUAACAGAAUCGCAUACUUAACAAAAUAGAGCAACAAAUAGAACAUAAUUGUAUGUCAUCUGCAACAGAGUCUCAUACAAAACAACAACAAAAUACAUGAACGUCUAAAACAUAACACUAACUGAGCAUAACGAACAUACCACUGUCUAGCGGUACGGUCCCUGCGCGUGGAAGUCCAUGUAGAGGUCCUCCAUGCUGGAACGCAGCUCCUCUAACUGUGUGAGUUACACACUGCCAGUCUCGAACUGGUGUGCAAGCAAACCGUUUAAGUAGGGGUGUAGAUGAUCUAACAUCCAGUAAGCCGACUGUACAAAGAAAAACAAAACUCAUUAAUCGUGUAUAAAGGUGCAAUAAUUAAUACAAUUCGAGAAUCACACUUACCAUAUAGGUCGACAAGCGAGCACCCCACUUACCAUAUCGAUCGACAAGCGAGCACCACUAAAAAUCGGGACUAAAAUGUGUGGGUGGUUGUGCCGUACCUACAACUCCAUAUAGCGCGGCUUGACAUCGACGUUGUCCUCCACACAUCGAAACAAAGUCUGAAGUGAGAUAAGUCGAACGUAUUUGGGGUCAGUCCAGGAAAAAUCCCGAGUUGGAUCCCACUCAACCACAUAUCCAUUAGCCUCAGCUAACCUAACAACCCUAAUGGGACGGACGAUAUGCGGAGGAAUCAUCUGCAUGUAGCCAAACUGUCUAACCACACUGGUGGGGUCGUAGUACUCGGGGGUAGUAGCGUAACAAAUCACCCCACGAAACACUGAAUCAGGAACCUCUAGCUCGGGCCAGUGACCGAAAGGCAGCCAAGUCACAUCAUGUGCGGUCAUAUCAUUGAGAAGAUGACGAUAACACUCUAACCUAUGGUUCUUGAACUUGUAUGGCCUCUCUAACUGCUCGCCACUACUCCACCUCCACCUAAAGCCUCACCCUCGCCCCGUUCCCGACACACUACUCUAGUAGAACGAGUACUAGAGAAAUGCUCGUGGAUCCAAGACUAAAGUAGUGUCGGACCGCCAACCAUCCCCUUGCACGAGGCAUGACUAGCCUUGUCGAGCUCGUGGUAUAACCAUGCUUGCGCGCCCUGGCCCCCAAGUGUACCGCAACAUCCCCCAUAAAGUACUCCCACAACACGAGACGAGUCUGAUCCACUUAAUUAUCUGUAAAUAAAGCAUAGAUCUCCCUUAAAAGAAAAUAGGCAUCUCAACUCAACAAGUGCAUUAUUCCAUAUACAAAAAAUGUUAGAUUGAGCCACAUAAAUGUUAUUACGGAGACGAGAUUCAACCCAAUCCGAACCUUUCGAGCUGUGGAGAUUGUAACUCAUGUUCACUUAUGUCAAUCUAAUCUCCAACUGCUUUGAUGAUGGACAUAGGGACACUUAGAAACUAAAAUCUAUCAUCGAUUCAAUUCCUCUUCUUUGAAUGGGAGAAAAGGUAACAAAUAGUGACGCAGACAGAUGACAACUGAGGGUUAUCCUUCACUAACUAAAACGCUAAGGUUCAAAUUCAAUGCCGACUAAUAAAUGUGGGAGAUUUAGACUACAUAGCGAAGGUUUGAGAUUAAACCACAAACCAUUGACUACGCAGUUAGCCUGUGCCAUUCAUCACAUUCCUUUACCAGGAGCUGCAAGAAAGGAAUUGCCUGUACCGAGAGACUAGGAUGACUUGGACUGCAAGGUAACAAAAGAAUUGCCCCUUCUUAAGUAAGGCGAGGUGGGUUGUUUUUCUUAAUGCCAUAACUUGCUGCAGAAUCCAUUCCUAGGCCUCUUGCUGGAUACGACAUCCGAGAACGAAUCAACCAACUGUUCGGCUAAGCUACCAUGGUCAUCAUUCAGAGUCC